rnacentral:lncRNA from 1 species
AGCUGGGAUUCUGCCUCCUCUCCUCCCAAGAUUUCAGAUAAAGCCGAGGCCUUGCUGCAGCGAAUCUGCACAAUUAAAAGCUUUAAUUAGUGGCUCCUCCAUUUUCUUAGUUCUGAUGGGCUUUAUCUAAUGAGAUCUGGUCUCUGGCUUAGAUCUACUCCGAAUGACGUGUCCGCAAUGAAUGAGAGCUUCGUCGCAAACAAAACAUUUAAUUAACAAAAUUGGCCUCUAAGAGAGGGAGGGAAAGGCUGGAAGCGGGGUGUAGAGAGGAGGGGGAGGGUGGAUCUUAAAGGGACCCACGUCUGCCUGACCCCUCCACCUCCCCGAAGUCGAGGAACCCGAGGAACCGUACUACUGCCCCCUCCCUCCCGCGGCUCCCGACCCCUCGGCUCCACCCAAGAGCCAUCGAGGAGCUACGCAAACUCGGGUUCUUUUCCCCCCAACACGCUUUUCUGUACCCCUACUUCGGGCCGGGUGACUGGCGCGGAAAGUGCGGCCAGAGGAGGAAGUUCGGACGCCGUCGGGUGGGGCUCCGGUCAGAGCAGGCGAGCGGGUGGGUGGCGGGCCAGGUCCACGGUGCGGGGCCGCGAGGGGGCGAGCGCAGGGCAGGAGCCGGCGCGGUGGCGCUGGUGUCCCCGACUCUGCUCCGGCGGUUCACGUGGCGCCCGCAGCCGCAGUGAGCUGAGCUCGGGGCCGGGGCAAGGGGUUUGAAGGUGGCCGGAGGUGGAGGGUGUGUUUGGGGAGGGGAUUCGCGUUAGGCAAGGAGAAGCCGCCAAGCAGAGAGUUCAUUUCCCUGGUAAUCAACAGCAAGCUGCUAUAUUCAGAGAAUGCUGUCCCUUUAAUUGAACAGGCUAGGUAAUUAAAUGGCACUUUUCCAAUAGGACGUGCUAGGUAAAUCUAAUAGUUGGUUAUUUAAUAUCACUUUGAAGUCUGCCCACUCAAGCACAAUGACAGCACACGAGCAUGUGAACUAUUAGCUAGGAAAAAAAAAACCCAGGAUCUCAAAAAUUAAUUAAAUCGCAUGCAAUUUAGGGGGAACGUUUAUCUUGAUUUGUCAUAACAGAAUUAAUUCAAGGCCUCCAAUUCACUUGGGGGCAGAUCUGUUACUCUGAAUUAACCAAGCGUAAUUUGGCUGAUUUUUUUUUUUUUUCUUCCUCCCCUCUCUAAUGCAGUGGUUGCGAUUAUGCACCCCCCCCCUAGGUAUAAAUAGCUUAUGGUGCUUUUAAGGUGCUUGGGCUCUAGUUAUUCCGAAGUACCUUUAAUGGACUUGGCUCCAGGCAUAAUUUCUGGGUUGCAUUUCUUUGUUACAUUUAAUAUAGCUGGUGCAGAAUUUAGAUUAAAUAUAGGAUCCUGCUGGAAAACCAAUUGCUUCUAGAUCAGUAGCCGUGGUUGUACAUUUUUCUCCUCAGAUAGGUUGCUGAUAUUUACUCGCAGGUACAAAUGUGUACCUUUCAGCCACACUCGGGGAAAUGUACCUCUCCAGUGCCUGAAAGCAGUUUAGAAAACACAGCCAGGUAGCGCUCCGUAUUGCGUGUAUUUUGCUUGAAGUAAUAAUGCGGUUGAAAAAUAAGCCCACCUAUUGGCCAUCGGAGUUACUGAAAGAUGCUAAACAUUGAUGUUAAACUUAAAAAAAAAAUACAAUUUGUUUCUCCAUUUCUCAUGUCAGCAAGGAGAUUUGGAACUGAGCCUGCAGACAGGGCUCCCCACUACCUCGUUGUCCUUAGAUAGGAGCAAGACACCUUAAAAGUGGGAUUUCUCUCCAUCCUUUCCCUUUCCCCGCGUAAAGAACCUCUUGAUGUUUGUGAUUGAUUGCAUUGCCCAAAUGCUGAAAUAUUAACGACCUUCUUGGACUGAGGACCCAAAGAAAGGAAACUGAAACCAAUUCUGUCAUCACAAUUAAAGACUCCCCUGGCUUUAAUUAGCCUGACCUGGGGUAUAUCUCCCGGUUGCUUGAGUUAAAGAGAAAAGAGCCCAUUAUAGUCCAGUCUGAGACCGAUAGCUACUUAAUUGAGCACCUAAAGCCUCCAGCCUUUUAAAUCAAACACUGUCCUGGACAGUCCCCCUGGUUAGAUAAUUAACUCUCCAACGCAC